AUUGAACGCUGGCGGCAGGCCUAACACAUGCAAGUCGAGCGGAGCGGCGGACGGGUGAGUAAUGCCUAGGAAUCUGCCUGGUAGUGGGGGAUAACGUCCGGAAACGGGCGCUAAUACCGCAUACUAUCAGAUGAGCCUAGGUCGGAUUAGCUAGUUGGUGGGGUAAAGGCCUACAAAGGCGACGAUCCGUAACUGGUCUGAGAGGAUGAUCAGUCACACUGGAAGUGAGACACGGUCACGACUCCAACGGGAGGAAGAAGUGGGGAAUUUUGGAAAAUGGGCGAAAGCCGGAUCCAGCCAUGCGGCGGGUGUGAAGAGGGUGUUCGGAUUGUAAAGCACUUUAGGUUGGGAGGCGUGACCAACAGAAUAAGCACCGGCUAACUUCGUGCCAGAAGCCGCGGAAAUAA
rnacentral:rRNA from 1 species